rfam:Metarhizium anisopliae BRIP 53293 unplaced genomic scaffold Scaffold_65, whole genome shotgun sequence.
GCCUAGAUAGUUUAACGGUUAAAACACCGACCUCAUAUGUUGGUAAUAAAAGUUCGAUUCUUUUUCCAGGCU